rnacentral:tRNA from 1 species
GGGCCGGUCGCCGUGUUGGUUGCAGGCAGCGGGCUCUAAUCCGCCGGACGACCCCCACCCUGGGUUCGAAUCCCACCCGACUCAUCA